GGGUGGCCUAGUGGUUAGAGCUUCCGCCUCGGAUGCGAGAGGUUGCGGGUUUGAACUCCGGUUGAGUCA